rnacentral:tmRNA from 1 species
GGGGCUGAUCGGUUUCGACGCCGGUGACAGCAUUCGUUUUGUGCGACCAGAGUUGCUCAGACUCUUUAAACGGGGCAUAAAAAGAGACUCCAAAACGGAUGAUCUCGCUCUCGCAGCCUGACCUAGUUAGGUUGUAGAGAGUCAUCGCGACCGGUAACGGCACGCGGGGCCGAUCCACCGCAGCCUGGCAACAGAAGCGGAGGAGACCGCAGGGAUAGACCGCUGACGGCGCGAAAGAACGCUGGCUUAAGGGAAAUAGACCUUGAGGUAGGCCUUGUGCCAACUGAUCCGGCAGUGUGACAGCCUUAAGACACAAUCACGGGAAUGGUCGUAUCGCAUGCGGUUGCACUCCGACGGACGGGGGUUCGAUUCCCCCCAGCUCCAC